rnacentral:misc_RNA from 1 species
UCCGAGUUGACCCCGGCAGUCUCCUAUGAGUCCCCGGCACUACCCGCUGGCAACAUAGAACGAGGGUUGCGCUCGUUGCGGGACUUAACCCAACAUCUCACGACACGAGCUGACGACAACCAUGCACCACCUGUACACCGACCUUGCGGGGCACCCAUCUCUGGGUGUUUCCGGCGUAUGUCAAGCCUUGGUAAGGUUCUUCGCGUUGCAUCGAAUUAAUCCGCAUGCUCCGCCGCUUGUGCGGGCCCCCGUCAAUUCCUUUGAGUUUUAGCCUUGCGGCCGUACUCCCCAGGCGGGGCGCUUAAUGCGUUAGCUGCGGCACGGAACCCGUGGAUAGGGCCCCACACCUAGCGCCCAACGUUUACGGCAUGGACUAC